CCAAAGGCUCUUCUAAGAGCCAACACUUCUCCUGUCAGCGGCUCAU
rfam:Oryzias latipes DNA, chromosome1, strain: Hd-rR.